UACGGAGGAGGCAAGCGUUAUCCGGAAUUAUUGGGCGUAAAGCGUCCGCAGGUGGCAGUUCAAGUCUGCUGUCAAAGACCGGGGCUUAACUUCGGAAAGGCAGUGGAAACUGAACAGCUAGAGUAUGGUAGGGGCAGAGGGAAUUCCUGGUGUAGCGGUGAAAUGCGUAGAUAUCAGGAAGAACAUCGGUGGCGAAGGCGCUCUGCUGGACCAUAACUGACACUCAGGGACGAAAGCUAGGGGAGCGAAUGGG
rnacentral:rRNA from 1 species